GGCUCGUUGGUCUAGGGGUAUGAUUCUCGCUUUGGGUGCGAGAGGUCUCAGGUACAAAUCCCGGACGAGCCC
rnacentral:tRNA from 1 species